rnacentral:rRNA from 1 species
AGCGUACACGGUGGAUGCCCUGGCAGUCAGAGGCGAUGAAGGACGUGCUAAUCUGCGAUAAGCGUCGGUAAGGUGAUAUGAACCGUUAUAACCGGCGAUUUCCGAAUGGGGAAACCCAGUGUGUUUCGACACACUAUCAUUAACUGAAUCCAUAGGUUAAUGAGGCGAACCGGGGGAACUGAAACAUCUAAGUACCCCGAGGAAAAGAAAUCAACCGAGAUUCCCCCAGUAGCGGCGAGCGAACGGGGAGGAGCCCAGAGCCUGAAUCAGUGUGUGUGUUAGUGGAAGCGUCUGGAAAGGCGCGCGAUACAGGGUGACAGCCCCGUACACAAAAAUGCACAUAUUGUGAGCUCGAUGAGUAGGGCGGGACACGUGGUAUCCUGUCUGAAUAUGGGGGGACCAUCCUCCAAGGCUAAAUACUCCUGACUGACCGAUAGUGAACCAGUACCGUGAGGGAAAGGCGAAAAGAACCCCGGCGAGGGGAGUGAAAAAGAACCUGAAACCGUGUACGUACAAGCAGUGGGAGCACGCUUAGGCGUGUGACUGCGUACCUUUUGUAUAAUGGGUCAGCGACUUAUAUUCUGUAGCAAGGUUAACCGAAUAGGGGAGCCGAAGGGAAACCGAGUCUUAACUGGGCGUUAAGUUGCAGGGUAUAGACCCGAAACCCGGUGAUCUAGCCAUGGGCAGGUUGAAGGUUGGGUAACACUAACUGGAGGACCGAACCGACUAAUGUUGAAAAAUUAGCGGAUGACUUGUGGCUGGGGGUGAAAGGCCAAUCAAACCGGGAGAUAGCUGGUUCUCCCCGAAAGCUAUUUAGGUAGCGCCUCGUGAAUUCAUCUCCGGGGGUAGAGCACUGUUUCGGCAAGGGGGUCAUCCCGACUUACCAACCCGAUGCAAACUGCGAAUACCGGAGAAUGUUAUCACGGGAGACACACGGCGGGUGCUAACGUCCGUCGUGAAGAGGGAAACAACCCAGACCGCCAGCUAAGGUCCCAAAGUCAUGGUUAAGUGGGAAACGAUGUGGGAAGGCCCAGACAGCCAGGAUGUUGGCUUAGAAGCAGCCAUCAUUUAAAGAAAGCGUAAUAGCUCACUGGUCGAGUCGGCCUGCGCGGAAGAUGUAACGGGGCUAAACCAUGCACCGAAGCUGCGGCAGCGACGCUUAUGCGUUGUUGGGUAGGGGAGCGUUCUGUAAGCCUGUGAAGGUGUGCUGUGAGGCAUGCUGGAGGUAUCAGAAGUGCGAAUGCUGACAUAAGUAACGAUAAAGCGGGUGAAAAGCCCGCUCGCCGGAAGACCAAGGGUUCCUGUCCAACGUUAAUCGGGGCAGGGUGAGUCGACCCCUAAGGCGAGGCCGAAAGGCGUAGUCGAUGGGAAACAGGUUAAUAUUCCUGUACUUGGUGUUACUGCGAAGGGGGGACGGAGAAGGCUAUGUUGGCCGGGCGACGGUUGUCCCGGUUUAAGCGUGUAGGCUGGUUUUCCAGGCAAAUCCGGAAAAUCAAGGCUGAGGCGUGAUGACGAGGCACUACGGUGCUGAAGCAACAAAUGCCCUGCUUCCAGGAAAAGCCUCUAAGCAUCAGGUAACAUCAAAUCGUACCCCAAACCGACACAGGUGGUCAGGUAGAGAAUACCAAGGCGCUUGAGAGAACUCGGGUGAAGGAACUAGGCAAAAUGGUGCCGUAACUUCGGGAGAAGGCACGCUGAUAUGUAGGUGAAGUCCCUUGCGGAUGGAGCUGAAAUCAGUCGAAGAUACCAGCUGGCUGCAACUGUUUAUUAAAAACACAGCACUGUGCAAACACGAAAGUGGACGUAUACGGUGUGACGCCUGCCCGGUGCCGGAAGGUUAAUUGAUGGGGUCAGCGCAAGCGAAGCUCUUGAUCGAAGCCCCGGUAAACGGCGGCCGUAACUAUAACGGUCCUAAGGUAGCGAAAUUCCUUGUCGGGUAAGUUCCGACCUGCACGAAUGGCGUAAUGAUGGCCAGGCUGUCUCCACCCGAGACUCAGUGAAAUUGAACUCGCUGUGAAGAUGCAGUGUACCCGCGGCAAGACGGAAAGACCCCGUGAACCUUUACUAUAGCUUGACACUGAACAUUGAGCCUUGAUGUGUAGGAUAGGUGGGAGGCUUUGAAGUGUGGACGCCAGUCUGCAUGGAGCCGACCUUGAAAUACCACCCUUUAAUGUUUGAUGUUCUAACGUUGACCCGUAAUCCGGGUUGCGGACAGUGUCUGGUGGGUAGUUUGACUGGGGCGGUCUCCUCCUAAAGAGUAACGGAGGAGCACGAAGGUUGGCUAAUCCUGGUCGGACAUCAGGAGGUUAGUGCAAUGGCAUAAGCCAGCUUGACUGCGAGCGUGACGGCGCGAGCAGGUGCGAAAGCAGGUCAUAGUGAUCCGGUGGUUCUGAAUGGAAGGGCCAUCGCUCAACGGAUAAAAGGUACUCCGGGGAUAACAGGCUGAUACCGCCCAAGAGUUCAUAUCGACGGCGGUGUUUGGCACCUCGAUGUCGGCUCAUCACAUCCUGGGGCUGAAGUAGGUCCCAAGGGUAUGGCUGUUCGCCAUUUAAAGUGGUACGCGAGCUGGGUUUAGAACGUCGUGAGACAGUUCGGUCCCUAUCUGCCGUGGGCGCUGGAGAACUGAGGGGGGCUGCUCCUAGUACGAGAGGACCGGAGUGGACGCAUCACUGGUGUUCGGGUUGUCAUGCCAAUGGCACUGCCCGGUAGCUAAAUGCGGAAGAGAUAAGUGCUGAAAGCAUCUAAGCACGAAACUUGCCCCGAGAUGAGUUCUCCCUGACUCCUUGA